AUCCGGCUGAUGAGUCCCAAAUUAAACGAAAUGCGCGUCUUGUAU
rnacentral:hammerhead_ribozyme from 1 species